rnacentral:rRNA from 1 species
UUUUUAUGGAGAGUUUGAUCCUGGCUCAGGAUGAACGCUGGCGGCGUGCCUAAUACAUGCAAGUCGAGCGAACAGAUAAGGAGCUUGCUCCUUUGACGUUAGCGGCGGACGGGUGAGUAACACGUGGGUAACCUACCUAUAAGACUGGAAUAACUCCGGGAAACCGGGGCUAAUGCCGGAUAACAUUUAGAACCGCAUGGUUCUAAAGUGAAAGAUGGUUUUGCUAUCACUUAUAGAUGGAC